rnacentral:ncRNA from 1 species
GCAUGUACCGACGACCGUGCUGAUGAUCUCUCUACCUUGUUUGUCCGAUCAUGGACUUUUCCUUUGGAAAUAUCUCUAAGGCAAGGAUCCUUAAGCUAUCAAAAGGGUAAAAGCUCAUUUGAUUCUGAUUUUCAGUACGAAUACGAACCACGAAAGAGUGGCCUAUCGAUCCUUUAGACCUUCGGAAUUUGUGGCAGCCAAGCAUUCAUAGCGACGUUGCUUUUUGAUCCUUCGAUAUCGGCUCUUCCUAUCAUUGUGAAGCAGAAUUCACCAAGUGUUGGAUUGUUCACCCACCAAUAGGGAACGUGAGCUGGGUUUAGACCGUCGUGAGACAGGUUAGGUUUACCCUACUUAUGCCUGCGUCGCAAUACUAAUUCAACCUAGAACGAGAGGAACUGUUGAUUCGCACAAUUGGUCAUCGCACUUGGUUGAAAAGCCAGUGGCGCAAAGCUACCGUGCGCUGGAUUAUGACUGAACGCCUCUAAGUCAGAAUCUGGGCUAGAAGCGACGCAUGCACC